rnacentral:rRNA from 1 species
CCUACGGGUGGCAGCAGUGAGGAAUAUUGGUCAAUGGACGAGAGACUGAACCAGCCAAUUAGCGUGAAGGAUGACUGCCCUAUGGGUUGUACACUCCUUUUAUAUGGGAAUAAAACAGGGUAUGCAUACCCUCUUGUGUGUACCAUAUGAAUAAGGUACGGCUAACUCCGUGCCAGCAGCCGCGGUAAUACUGAGGAUCUGAGCCUUAUCCGGAUUUAUUGGGCUUAAAGGGUGCGUAGGCGGACUUUUAAGUCAGCGGUGAAAGUCCGUGGCUUAACCAUAGAAUUGCCGGUGAAACUGGGAGGCUGGAGUAUGUUUGAGGCAGGCGGAAUGCGUGGUGUAGCGGUGAAAUGCUUAGAUAUCACGCAGAACCCCGAUUGCGAAGGCAGCCUGCCAAGACAUGACUGACGCUGAGGCACGAAAGCGUGGGUAGCGAACAGGAUUAGAUACCCCAGUAGUC